UACGUAGGGUGCAAGCGUUGUCCGGAAUUAUUGGGCGUAAAGAGCUCGUAGGCGGUUCGUCGCGUCGGCUGUGAAAACCUGAGGCUCAACCUCAGGCCUGCAGUCGAUACGGGCAGGCUAGAGUUCGGUAGGGGAGACUGGAAUUCCUGGUGUAGCGGUGAAAUGCGCAGAUAUCAGGAGGAACACCGAUGGCGAAGGCAGGUCUCUGGGCAUUAACUGACGCUGAGGAGCGAAAGCAUGGGGAGCGAACAGG
rnacentral:rRNA from 1 species